CCGCCAGCAGCCACGCCCAGCGCCCAAGCGAAGCUUCCGGCCGUGAAAGACGCAGGCUGAUCACGAUAGCGCCCGCGGCCAGCGCGAGGGNGGCCGGCGAACUUCAGAUCGAACAUCGGAUUGCGCAUGGCGGUCAUCACGUCGGAGCGCACACCAAGCCCAGCCAGGAACAGCGCAGUAGAUACCGGCACCGCAAGCACCAGCGCGGCCAGCAGCAGAUGACCGACCGAGCGUUCGUGUGUGUCGUUGUCCGCGGCGAGGGUGCGGAUGAGA
rnacentral:misc_RNA from 1 species